AGAUAGGUUGGUGAUGGACGAAGUGUAAUACUUAAUGCCUUUAUUACGAUGCAGUGAAAUUCGGGCGUGCAGUUAAUGACAAAAGAAAACGUCACCUAGCAAAAGGGCAAACUUGAUUUGACAUGCCGGGUUUGUGCUUGCCGCCGGCACCCUACAUUCAAGCAUACGCGCAAUUUGGCGGACACAAGGGGACAAACGUAAUCAGUAGAAUACACAAACAAAAAUGGAAGGAAGUACUUCAACAGCUACAGCAAUACACUUUGAAAUAUUUCAUCCUGGCACUUUGGAAUGUUUGAAUGUGGAAGGCCUUGAAAUUGGGAUGCAGAAAACCAGGGAAUGUCACAGAAAUAAAAAAUAAAAAACAAUAUUU